rnacentral:rRNA from 1 species
GACGAACGCUGGCGGCGCGCUUAACACAUGCAAGUCGAACGGAAAGGCCUGCUUUCCCUUGUGUAUUGCGGGUACUCGAGUGGCGAACGGGUGAGUAACACGUGAGUGAUCUGCCCCCAACUUGGGUAUAAGCCUGGGAAACUGGGUCUAAUUCCCGAUAGGACGGCAGGGUGGUGCCUGCGUUGGAAAACGAUUGUCUAGUUGUUGGGGAUGAGCUCGCGGCCUAUCAGCUUGUUGGUGGGGUAAUGGCCUAACAAGUCGGCGACGGGUAGCCGGCCGGGGAGAGUGGACCGGCACAGUAGGAAUGCGAUACGGCCCAGACUCCUCCGGGAGGCAGGAGUGGGGAAUAUUGGACAACGGGUGGACGCCUGACGCAGGGACGCCGCGUGGGGGAUGACGGCCUUCGGGUUGUAACCUCCUUUCGACCGCGAGGAAGCCACCUGGUUGGACGGGUGGUGACGGUAGUGGUAGAAGAAGCACCGGCUAACUACGUG